UCUCGACCGGGCCCAGGCCCGGGCUCUCCGGCCCGAACGGGUUGAAAAGUGGGUGGUCCCUCGUCGCGCCGCGCGGCAGCGCGAGCCUGGCGUACCGGUCGAAUAGCUCCAGGUUGAGGAACGCGUCGGCCGGGCACUCCAGUUCCGACCGGGUCCGGUCGGGCCCGCUGAAGCCGGGCAUUAUGAGAACGAACCCGCGGAUCCGGACCGGGUUCAGCCCGGCCGGCCCGAACCGGACGGCCAUGUGGUGGGCGAUGUUUCCCCCGGCGGACUCGCCGGAGACGAACACGCGGCUGAAGUCGGCGGAUUCGGCGAGCCAGGGGUCGGCUCCGGCGCCGGCUUCGGCUUCGGCUUGGGAUUUGAGCCAUAGGAGCGCGGUAGCGCCGUCGUCGAUGGCGGCGGGGAGGCGGUGCUCGGGGGCGAGGCGGUAGUCGGCGGAGACGACGAGUACGCCGAGCUCGGCGGCGAGGCGGAGGCAGCCGGCGUGGAAGUUGGGCCACGUCCGAGAGCCGAUGCAGAAGCCGCCGCCGUGGAAGUAGACGAGCACGGGAAGCUUUUCGUUAUCAUAAUCAGAUAGUUCAUGACUAGGUCGGGGACGGUAGAGGCGGAGGAAGAGGCUGUGGGUCGGGUCGAAGAGCACGUCCUUCCACUCGACGGAGCCGUCGUCGCGGUCAGAAUCUACAGGAAAGAUGGGGUCCGGAGAGCGCCGGAUGGUGCCGUCGCUCAGGAGCUGCACGACGCCGCGGCAGUCCUCGACAACGUGCGGAGGAGGAGAAGAGGAGGACGACGACAUGGCGGCGCGGUGGAGGAGAUGCUGGUGUGGAGCUGGAUGUGUUUUGGUUUUUGAGGAUACACAGAGUCUCUCGUUUAGGGUUUACUAAUCGUUUUUUUAUAUUGCAUGCUACUUGCGCCAGGGACAGCUGGUACAUUAUGGGCAUUUGAAUAAUCAUGUGGAAAGAUUAUUACAUAGAAAUAUUAUUGUCGACUACCGUGCAUUCAUAUAUGUCACAUGGAGAUUGCACACAACAAUUCUUUAAAUUCACACUUUAUUACCUUUUUGGUUUGUAUAUAUAUAUACACUGCUUUAUUAUUAUCUUAUUUAAUAGUAGAUUCUAGCAUAAAGAUAGAAUAACAAAAAAACUAACUUUUAGGCUUAGAGAUGAAAAAAUAUAAAUUACGUUUAGCCUUAAUAGAGCUAAUCGUGUGAUCCUUUAUAUCAUUUUAUUAUACAUUAUUUUCUUUCACAAGGAGUCUAAUUUUAGAUAAGGAAACGUUAACAAUUAAGGACUUAAUUUUGACAAGUAUUACAAUUUACAUGUUUUUUUAAUUAUUUGUACAUACUUUGUCACUUUUUUUAUUCAAAAGAUGUAAUGUACUGAAUAAUAUUAUCAAUAAUUUUCUUUCUUACCGACUGUCCCUAGAGCAAGUGGUAAAGGGCUUGAUGGUUGGUACCCGAGACCCAAGUUCGAAUCCUAGUUGAUUCACAUUUCUAGCUAAAUUUAUUUCUAAAUGAAAUAAACGAAACGGUUAGCGUGCUACAUAUCUCUCAAAAAAAAAAAAAUUCUUUUUUUCUUUCUUGGGCAAACCACUUUUGCAUGCGUGCUCAAAAGAAGAAAAAACAAAAAUGAAAACUCAGUUCCGUGGCGAGAGAGUCGUUUACGUUUCGAGCAACUAAAAUCAACUAAAAUAAAAGUAAAGCAUGAAGGAAAAAUAUGAAAUUGCAUAAACUUUGGACCUCCAACAACUCUGUGACACUGAAGUUGUAUAAUACAAAUCUCAACCACAUGAUAAUAAUAAUAAUAAUAAUAAUUAUUAUUAUUAUUUUAUUAAAAAAAAGUAUAUAUCUCUUAUACUUGGCUAGAAUAAAAUUAAUUAAUAGUGGGCGAAGGAUGUUUUAAAGAACACGAAAGUUUAAUAGAGGUGUUUUAUAUAGUACAUAUACUACAUGGGAGUGUGUUGGAUAUCGUUUAAUACAAAACGUUGCUUCUAUCAAACAAUUUUACCUAGAAUGUCUAAACUUAGAAAGAUAUUAUAAAGUAUUUGUGAAAGAGGCGUGGCAUGAAUGAUAUGAUCUACAAAUCGAGAUCCUAUAAAAAAGGCUUCUAACGAGUACCAAAGUGCAAAAACAUGAUUUUUUUUUCUUUUUCAUACUCAGCGUUUCAUAUAGGUACCGUUUGGUUCGGAUAUAAGUAAGAACUAAUUAUUAUAGGGAUAGGUACAAGUAUGGAAAUAAGAAAAAUAGUGUUGGGAUAAAACUUGGAUUGUUUCCAGAAAUUAAAACAAUUUUAGAUAAUUUUAUAUAAAAAAUGAAGGUAUUGGUGGGGAUAAUCGAGAAUUACUAUUCUCGGAUAAAAAAAUAGCGUUUGAAUAUAAACAGGAGGAUAAUGAUCUAUUCCUAUUCUUAUUCCCUAACCAAACGCUGCAUAAGGUUUACCGAAGUGGCGCCGCAGUUGGAUGAGAGGAUAGCAAACGUUGCGACACUGUCACCUUGUCAACAGGGACAACACGGCGAGCCUAUUCUGCUUUUCGAAUUGAUGUAUAUAGCAUGCACAUUUCUAAUAAAAUAUUUGGGAUAUUCAAAACCAGUCUAUUUAUUUUGUUGCUGUUAACAGUACAAUAAUUGUUGCUAGGACCAAAAGCACGCGAAAACGCGAAAUUGAUUGUUGAUCCCGUUCACACCGAUUCGUUGCUGAGCUCGGUCAUGAACCGCUUGAUGAUCCGGACCAGCUCCCCGACCGGCUCGGACCACGGCUUUGUCGCGAAGAACCCGUGCUCCUGCCCCUGGAUUUCGACGAGCUCCACACGCUUCCCCAGCUCCCUCAUCUUCACCACGUACUCCACGUCCCGGUCCCUCAGGAUAUCUCGCUCGGCCGUCACCACGAGGAUCGGGCCGGUCUCGACCGGGCCCAGGCUCGGGCUCUCCGGUCCGAACGGGUUGAAAAUCGGGUGGUUCUUCGUCGCGCCGCGCGGCAGUGCGAGCCGGGUGUACCGGUCGAAUAGCUCCAGGUUGAGGAACGCGUCGGCCGGGCACUCUAGCUCCGACCGGGUCCGGUCGGCCCCGCCGAAGGCGGGCAUUAGGAGAAUGAACCCGCGGAUCCGGACCGGGUUCAGGCCGGCCGGCCCGAACCGG
rnacentral:lncRNA from 1 species